UGAAACUUUCCUUUUCAGGUCUUCAAUUACAGUUUGUAUGAAUGACUAAACACCUGAAUUAUUAAUAAACUCCCAAAUGGAGCUUUGUGAAAACUGUGGAGAAUUUGCAGUGGAUGAAGACAUCCUGCUAAUGCUUGCCGCCUGAUUACCAUUUUCGGUUAGGGAUUGACUUCGGUUUUUGUAUUGCAGAAUUACAGUUAAAUAUGAAGUACACCCCCCUACUUCUUUUUGUCGUACUCACAGUGGUAGUAGCUCAAGGCCAUGAAGCGGAACACAAGCAUGAAGGGGGACAUCACCAUAAGGACGGACACCAUCAUGAAAAACGUAGCCUACUUAUGAUGUCAAGAGGACAUCUCGGAGCAGGACACGUUGGGGUCGUCGGUCUUGGUCACGAGCAUUACCUUGGACAUCGUAUGGGCCGCAGCAUCGUUUUGACAAAUCUUGCCCUUUCCCCAGUUGCUCUUACCUCCCAUGGAAUACUGACGCAUCACGGACUCGGAAUUCAUCAUGGACUCACUGGACUCCAUCAUGGAUUAAUUCUUUAAGAUUAGUUGACAUUCUUUUAUUUUGUCAAACAGAAAUAUUAUAUGAAUUUCAUGUUAUGCUUACAAGAAUUAAACGUCGUAUCUUUCUUUAUUAUUUUCACUCAAGAUUGUAAAUCUCUAAAUUAAAUAAAAUCUAUUUUCUUUUA
rnacentral:misc_RNA from 1 species